rnacentral:piRNA from 1 species
GCAAACUGUGCUUGAAACAGCUGUAAAUGAA